GCCACGGUGGUCUAGCGGUUAGAACGCUGGUCUUGUAAUCCUGGGGUCUCGGGUUCGAUUCCCUGCGGUGCCC
rfam:Zootermopsis nevadensis contig29849, whole genome shotgun sequence.